rnacentral:rRNA from 1 species
GACGAACGCUGGCGGCGUGCCUAAUACAUGCAAGUUGAGCGCUGAAGGUUGGUACUUGUACCGACUGGAUGAGCAGCGAACGGGUGAGUAACGCGUGGGGAAUCUGCCUUUGAGCGGGGGACGAACAUUUGGAAACGAAUGCUAAUACCGCAUAACAACUUUAAACACAAGUUUUAAGUUUGAAAGAUGCAAUUGCAUCACUCAAAGAUGAUCCCGCGUUGUAUUAG